rnacentral:rRNA from 1 species
AUUGAACACUGGCGGCAGGCUUAACACAUGCAAGUCGAGCGGUAGCACAGGGGAGCUUGCUCCCUGGGUGACGAGCGGCGGACGGGUGAGUAAUGUCUGGGAAACUGCCUGAUGGAGGGGGAUAACUACUGGAAACGGUAGCUAAUACCGCAUAACGUCGCAAGACCAAAGAGGGGGACCUUCGGGCCUCUUGCCAUCAGAUGUGCCCAGAUGGGAUUAGCUAGUAGGUGGGGCAAUGGCUCACCUAGGCGACGAUCCCUAGCUGGUCUGAGAGGAUGACCAGCCACACUGGAACUGAGACACGGUCCAGACUCCUACGGGAGGCAGCAGUGGGGAAUAUUGCACAAUGGGCGCAAGCCUGAUGCAGCCAUGCCGCGUGUGUGAAGAAGGCCUUCGGGUUGUAAAGCACUUUCAGCGAGGAGGAAGGUGGUGAGCUUAAUACGUUCAUCAAUUGACGUUACUCGCAGAAGAAGCACCGGCUAACUCCGUG